rnacentral:lncRNA from 1 species
GGGAAAAACACUUAACUGCAGAUGCAACAUGGCUUUAGUUUGAGCCAUUGUUCAGACACACUGUGAUAAGUUCUUUUACAGGUAUCUAGUCAUGGUAGUAAAUUUGUGGGUUUCAGAUGUGCUUAAUGAUCGUCUUGUUAAAUGCAGAAGGAGGGAGAAACUUUCUCAAGUUAUUAAAAAUGCCUACUCAGCGUGAGAGGCUGUAGCAGUUUGUCCUCAGCACGGGGAGAACUCCAAGUGACUAAGAAAAUCAUUUCAGUUAUGUAAAUAAAAUCAUGUAUUGUACAA